UUAUUUAUUUUCCAUUUUUCUUUGACGGAAACUGAAAAUUUGCGGCAGUUUCCACUAGGCCGCCAUUGUGGUCGGAACUGAGAAGAAGCCAUAGUCACUGUUUUCUCUAAGCUUAUUACAUAAGAAAUAUCGAACCCGAUAAAAGAAGAAGAAGAAGUUAGAACGAGCAGCCAUGGAAUCGUCGAGUGAGCUCGAUAGGCUGCUCUUUUUCGAGCAAGCUCGUAAAAUUUCCGAAGCUACUUAUGCUUCCAAUCCUCUCGAUGCCGACAACUUAACAAGAUGGGCUGGAGCUUUACUUGAGUUGUCUCAGUUUCAAAGCGUUCCAGAUUCACAGAAAAUGAUUCAAGAUGCUAUUUCGAAGCUAGAGGAGGCUUUGUCGAUUAACCCUAAGAAGCAUGAUGCUUUAUGGUGUUUGGGAAAUGCUCAGACUUCUUUUGCAUUUUUGACUAGCAAGGAAGAUGAGGCCAGGCCUUACUUCGAAAAGGCAGCUCAAUAUUUCCAGCAAGCAGUUGAUGAGGAUCCCAGCAAUGAAAUUUACCUGAAAUCUUUGGAAAUAUCUGCUAAGGCUCCAGAGUUACACCAGGAAAUCAUUAAGCAAGGUUUAGGUCAACAGAUGCUUGGUGCUGGACCCUCUAGUUCUACUUCUACCUCCAGCUCAGCAAAGGAAAACUUGAGCAAAGUGGUAAUCAAUUAAUCACAGGAUCAGAGUGGGUAGAUACAAACGUGCUAUGGAGGAAAUGUUUGAUACCAAGACACAAGAGAUAUUAUUACAAUGGCAAAAGGACUAAUCAUGCUUUAUGUUACUAUGUAUUGAGUUAGAAAUGACACAUCUCUACCCUAAAUUGAGCAUGGCUGAAAUGAGGAAAGCUGUAGCAGCGGAGGACAAAUCAGGAGAUUGUUUUUAGAUGAUUGAAUCCUGCAUAAUGUAGACCUAGAAUGCUUUUGUGCACGAGUGGUUUUGGUAAUGAGGAGGGGUAAAAGCAUGCAAAAUAUCACAUAAAUACUGCUACAAAAAAUAAGAAAAGUAGUGAUCUCAAAUACGACAUAUUCGGAUGGGUAAUCCUUGCUGUUGGCAUUGUUGCAUGGGUUGGAUUUGCAAAAUCUCAGAUGCCACCUUCACAGCUGCCACCACCACCACGAUAAGCACAGGAUGCAAGCUACGCCCUGACAUCUAAAUGCUGUUUGCAUUGAUUCAAAAAGCCUUAAUUUAUGUUAGUUUAGUUUUUUUUGACCUUA